UAAUCAACCUGCCCUUCAGAGGGGGACAACAGUUGGAAACGACUGCUAAUACCGCAUACGAUCCAACCUCGGCAUCGAGGAUGGAUGAAAGGUGGCCUCUAUUUAUAAGCUAUCACUGAAGGAGGGGAUUGCGUCUGAUUAGCUAGUUGGAGGGGUAACGGCCCACCAAGGCAAUGAUCAGUAGCCGGUCUGAGAGGAUGAACGGCCACAUUGGGACUGAGACACGGCCCAAACUCCUACGGGAGGCAGCAUG
rnacentral:rRNA from 1 species